GAUGAACGCCGGCGGCGUGCCUAACACAUGCAAGUCGAGCGGAGAAUUGUUGCUUGCAACAAUUCUUAGCGGCGGACGGGUGAGUAACACGUGGGUAAACUGCCCUAAACAAAGGGAUAAAAAUGAGAAAUGAUUGCUACUAUCGUAUACGCCUCAACUAUCGCAUGAUAGAGUAAGAAAAGAUUUAUCGGUUUAGGAGGGGCCCGCGUCUGAUUAGCUAGUUGGAGUGGUAACGGCUCACCAAGGCGACGAUCAGUAGCCGAUCUGAGAGGGUGAUCGGCCACAUUGGGACUGAGACACGGCCCAGACUCCUUCGGGCGGCAGCAGUAGGGAAGAUUGCACAAUGGAGCAAACUCUGAUGCAGCAACGCCGCGUGAAGGAAGAAGGUUUUCGAAUCGUAAACUUCUAUCUACAGGGAAGAAAAAAAUGACGGUACCUGAGUAAGAAGCCCCGGCUAACUACGU
rnacentral:rRNA from 1 species